GAUAGCCACCCCAGCCCCGUGGUGAGAGAAAGCAUUCCGGUCUGCAGCACAUUAAUUUUCGUAGAAAGGUUAAUUCCUCAUCUGUAGCAAUUUUGCGGUGUCCCCGGAAGAAGGACCGGUUUAAUCCGUUCCAGCAGCCUCGGUAAUAAGGAGGUUGCCGGCCUUAAUCGGAUUUUUUGGGCUUAAAGCGCACGCUGGCGGUUGAAUAAGUUUUAUUUUAAAAUCUCGGGGUCAACCUUUGAAAUUCAUUUAAAACUGUCUUCCUUGGAUUCUCGUAGAGGGGGGCAGAAUUCCAGGUGUAGCGGUGAAAUGUGUAGAGAUCUGGAGGAAUCCCGAUGGGGGAGGCAGCCCCCUUACAAAGACUGACGCUUAGGUUGAAAGCGUGGGGCUCAAACAAG
rnacentral:rRNA from 1 species